CACGUAGGGUGCGAGCGUUGUCCGGAAUUAUUGGGCGUAAAGAGCUCGUAGGCGGUGUGUCGCGUCGGCCGUGAAAACCUGCAGCUUAACUGUGGGCUUGCGGUCGAUACGGGCAUCACUGGAGUUCGGCAGGGGAGACUGGAAUUCCUGGUGUAGCGGUGAAAUGCGCAGAUAUCAGGAGGAACACCGAUGGCGAAGGCAGCUCGCUGGGACGGUACUGACGCUAAGGCGCGAAAGCGUGGGGAGCGAACAGG
rnacentral:rRNA from 1 species